ACAUCAUCCAGCAGCAGCCUCUUUCUCCUGUCAGGCGUUGUUCUUCUUAGAAACCUUCAAGAACUAAUUAGGUUGCUAGUGUCGAUACUGCCCAAAGAAAUUAGCUGAGGGAUCUGGGAUUGUGUUUUAAUUGGUGCAUAUUAUGAUUGAUGUACGCAAGACAUGUAAAUAUUCAUUCAUGUUCACUGAAUGAAUAGUGGUAGAAAAAGACUAAAGAAUUCUUCUAUGUUGUGGAAGAAUUUCAUCAUUUAAGGACUGUCAACAUGCGUUGUUAAAAUUGUUCGUGGUUCGCUCGUCAACGGAAAAUCAGAUCGGUGUUGAAAAAGGACUGCAAACCUUGUUAAAGACGUGCGUAUCAAGAGACAUAGCGACACGGUACGUCAUCGAAUAGUGGUCCUCUGAGGCAGACAGGAUGUCGAUAAUUGACUGUGGGUCUUGUUCCAACUGUGACAGUUGGCGAAAGAUUGGAUUAUGGUUAUGAGAGAGGUUUAAAUGGAAGCGAAGAAAACAAAACAUUAGGUUUUACGAUGAAACGGAAGCUCGAUGAGGUUAUUGUAACACUCGUCCCUGACGAUGGUAGCCGGCGUUUACUUACAAGAUCCCUAUGCAGGACCUAGUCGGGCCAAAAUGAAGAAAAUCACCCGGCGACAGGAUGUUUCCAAGCCAGGAAUUGUGAGAUUCUGAGAGGACAAACAGGUGGCGAGCCAACAACGGUUCAACAAAAAUUGGUAACUACACAAAAAUAUGACGGCCAUCCUCAAUCUACCAUCAUGCGUGUGCUUCGUUUGCUGCUAAAAUAAAUAAUAAUUAUAAUAAACUUCUUCUAAAACCUAAAAAAAAAAAGAUAAAAUAAACCUAUGCUCUACUGAAAUCCUAGAACCCAAGGUGCCAUUGUUGCUGCUACGCCAUCCCAAUGUGAAAUAUUAUAGCGUAUUGCUAUCUAUUUGAAUACCUAAAUCUGUUGACCAUCCACAUAUAUUAAAUAAUUUAGAUUUCGUGAAAAUGUUGAAGUUCGUAUUAACGUAGCUAAUGAGCAGAGGUACGUAGUCAUCUUUUUUAUUUAAAUAUUACGAUAGAAAUAUGGGUAUAUCACACAUAUAUUUGUGCACG
rnacentral:lncRNA from 1 species